GGAAAGAAAGGGAAGGCAAGAUUCUUUCUGAGCAGUAUUUCACUAAUAUUGUUGCUAAGGUUGCCCUGUGGACAAUUGAUAUGUGGACUAUCAGGUAAGUGCACUGUCAGGUGUUUUUUUUUUUAAUGAAUCAGGAAAUUUUGCAAUGAAAGGAAAGGAACAGAGAACCUUGGGGAAUGGAAACAGCUGAGUUUAAUGCAGGAAUAUAUCUUCAUUAAAAGGAAGUACCAGCUUCAGUAUCAGCCCUAGAGCUAAACCUCCUCAAUAAUCAAAGGCUCAAAUGUGAUUCACCUUCUAGCUAAAACACUGAAAAGAGGAACAAUAGUUCUGAGCUAAAAAAAUUAAAAGUCUGGUUAUUUAGUAGUGAAAUGACUGUUUUAACAUGGAGAUCAAUCCUUGAUCAUAUAAUAUAAAAUAAAUCCUAAAACUAUAAGGAGUACAGACAGCAGGACCAACAACGUUUGGGGGAAGAUGUAAUAGAUAACAUUCCUGAGUCAUGAAACAGGGGAAAUCUAGCACCACUGAAACCUUCUUUCUUGGUCUCCGCUAGAAAUAAAUGCAGUAAGGUGUCUCGACAUUUAAAGCAUUCAUUCAUAAACAUCUAAUCUGGAGAUAAACACUUGGAGAAAUGUACCUUGUAGGUACGAAGAACUGGCCUUUAGAAGGUCACAAAUUUUUGUGAAAUACUUAUGCCUUGUCAUACUGUAACAGUGAAUGCCUUUGACAGUAGUAGACUAUGGUAAUGGUCUAGAUAGUAAUAGAGAUUUCUAGAACAGUGCAAGUCAUUUUACUGUUAAAUACUUCGUUUGGGUGUGUUUAGAGAAAUCCUCAUAGAUAAGCAUUGCUGAAGAAGCAUCAUAAAACUUACUUUUAUCUUCAGAAUUAGGAAAGAAAUUUGUGUUUUUGUCUUUCAAAAUAAAUCAUAGGACAGUCACUAAAAUAUGCCAGAAAAGGAAUAGGAAAACUUUUUCAUCCACAGCCAUAAAUGAGAACACUGAGGCACAACAGAGACAGCUUUGAGACUGGAAAAUGAUUUUGUCAAAAAUGGAAGAAAUUAGAGUCUAAGGAGGAAGUACUGGCAGAAGAAAACAUUGUGAGGAAUAAUGAAAGUUUAAAGAGAUCUUCAGUUUAGCCAGCAGGAAAUCUCUUUUCACCAAAACAGUAAUUCGGUACCAAGAGAGGCUAUCCAGUGAGGCUGCAAAUUCUCUGUCCAGGGUGAUUUUUAAGAUUCAGUUAAAGCCAUAUCUGACAUGAUGCAGUGUCGGUAUAGUGCCUGUUUAAGUUGGAGGAUGGACUUAAUGGACUCCAACAUUUGCUUUAAGUUAACACUUGUGUAACUUUAGGGGGGAAAAAGGUAGGUGAUUAGCUGAAAAGAGAGCAAGUAUUAGAAGCCGCAGGAUUGUGAAUGAUAAAAUAUUAUGUUGGAGGGGGUGGGUGGAGUUGCAAGGUUAGUAGGGUACACCAGAGAUUUAAUAUUUGUCUUCUCAUUUCCUAAGUAUUGUAGGAUUGUAAAAUCUAUCUAACAAAUGGACUAAGAACAAUAAAAACAUUCAGGGAAAAAAAUUCUAAGGACCAUGAAAUAUUCUUGGAUAAGAAUAGAAAACGGUUAUAGUAUGCUCCAAUUUCUGCAUAUUCCUGUCUUUGCGUACACACUACUUACAUAGGGAACUUAUAGCUAGGUUUAUGCAACUAUAGUUUGCUGUGUAAUCAAGUGUGUUCAGAACAGAUAGUCCUUUGCUAUGCAACAACAGGAUUUCGCCUAUCACUGAAGACUAAUAAAGCAGAAACUAGUGCUCUAAAAACCAGUAAAAACUGGAUCUUUAAUUUGCAAUGUGGCCAGAAGCCCUGAGGGACGGCCAGAUACCAAGAGAGCCUGUGCAAAGUUGAUCCAGCGGACACUGUGAGGAGGAGUCCAGCGCCUCCUGCCCAAGACCACCAGGACACAGUGUGCAAGUGCAGACCGACGGAGAACUAAUUAAUAUAUGAAGCAAGAGUAGACUGCAAAAUCUUUAACCUGAUUGGCAGGUCUUCUGAAGAUAUGUGCAUAACAUCCUGAGGUCACUGCCUCUCAUUCAUCAAAACCAGAAAUUUUAUGAGUAAGUAAAAGAAGAUGCUUACC